rnacentral:misc_RNA from 1 species
GAUGAAGAACGUAGCGAAAUGCGAUAAGUAGUGUGAAUUGCAGAAUUCAGUGAAUCAUCGAAUCUUUGAACGCACAUUGCGCCCCCUGGUAUUCCGGGGGGCAUGCCUGUUCGAGCGUCAUUUCAACCCUCAAGCUCUGCUUGGUAUUGAGUCCAUGUCAGCAAUGGCAGGCUCCAAAAUCAGUGGCGGCGCCGCUGGGUCCUGUACGUAGUAAUAUCUCUCGUUACAGGUGCUCGGCGUGCUUCUGCCAAAACCCCAAUUUUUCUAUGGUUGACCUCGGAUCAGGUAGGGAUACCCGCUGAACUUAAGCAUAUCAUAAGCGGAGGA